GUUCCAGACUCCUACGGGAGGCAGCAGUGAGGAAUAUUGGUCAAUGGGCGGGAGCCUGAACCAGCCAAGUCGCGUGAGGGACGACGGUCCUAUGGAUUGUAAACCUCUUUUGUCGGGGAACAAAGGCGCCCACGGGUGGGCGGAUGAGUGUACCCGAAGAAAAAGCAUCGGCUAACUCCGUGCCAGCAGCCGCGGUAAUACGGAGGAUGCGAGCGUUAUCCGGAUUUAUUGGGUUUAAAGGGUGCGUAGGCGGACAGUCAAGUCAGCGGUAAAAAUGCGGUGCUCAACGCCGUACAGCCGUUGAAACUGGCAGUCUUGAGAUGUCGAGAGGUAUGCGGAAUGCGCAGUGUAGCGGUGAAAUGCUUAGAUAUUGCGCAGAACUCCGAUUGCGAAGGCAGCAUACCGGCGGCGAUCUGACGCUGAGGCACGAAAGCGUGGGUAUCGAACAGGAUUAGAUACCCUAGUAG
rnacentral:rRNA from 1 species